rnacentral:sRNA from 1 species
UUGAGGCAGCAUAUACUCCCCAAGCUGUUCAAGCCUCAACAUCUUAGGGAACUGGAUGCAGCUGAAUACGAAGAAAUAAUUGCUGCUCCAGGACAAGCUUUCAAUAGGUCUUUCAGGGAGGUAGAAUCACCCAGAGUUGGAUCAGUGGAAAUAGAGGAUGCUGAAAUAUUAGAUGAGUUAACUACAAAUAGAGGGGAGUGG